AAGAGCGAAAUAUUUCAGUUACGUUGAAUGACACCUUUAUAGGCGUUCUUU
rnacentral:tRNA from 1 species